rnacentral:misc_RNA from 1 species
CAUCAACCAGAUGAAUCUACUGGACCGGGCAGUGAAGAUGGUUGCCGAACUGGAUGAGCCAGAAGAGAUGAACUACGUGCGUAAGCAUGCACAAGAGCAGGCACGGGAACUUGGCGUUUCAUUAAGAGAGGCGGCAACAAGGGUGUUCUCAAAUGCAUCAGGCUCUUACUCAUCGAAUGUGAACUUGGCAGUGGAGAAUGCAUCAUGGACUGAUGAG